rnacentral:rRNA from 1 species
AUUAGAGAGUUUGAUCUUGGCUCAGGGUGAACGCUGGCGGCGCGCUUAAUGCAUGCAAGUCGAGCGAACCUACCGGCUUCGGCUGGAUAGGGAAGCGGCAGACGGCUGAGUAACGCGUGAGUAACCUGCCCUUUGGUGGGGUAUAGCCUCGGGAAACUGAGGGUAAUCCCGCAUAAGAUCCCUAGACCCUGGUUUAGGGAUGAAAGCCUUCGGGCGCCAGAGGAGGGGCUCGCGUCCUAUCAGGUAGUUGGUGAGGUAACGGCUCACCAAGCCGAUGACGGGUAGCUGGUCUGAGAGGACGACCAGCCAGAGGGGGACUGAGACACGGCCCCCACUCCUACGGGAGGCAGCAGCAGGGAAUCUUGGGCAAUGGGCGAAAGCCUGACCCAGCGACGUCGCGUG